rnacentral:rRNA from 2 species
CUCCUGGAAACGGGUGGUAAUGCCGGAUGCUCCAGUUGAUCGCAUGGUCUUCUGGGAAAGCUUUCGCGGUAUGGGAUGGGGUCGCGUCCUAUCAGCUUGACGGCGGGGUAACGGCCCACCGUGGCUUCGACGGGUAGCCGGCCUGAGAGGGCGACCGGCCACAUUGGGACUGAGAUACGGCCCAGACUCCUACGGGAGGCAGCAGUGGGGAAUAUUGCACAAUGGGCGCAAGCCUGAUGCAGCGACGCCGCGUGAGGGAUGGAGGCCUUCGGGUUGUAAACCUCUUUUAUCGGGGAGCAAGCGAGAGUGAGUUUACCCGUUGAAUAAGCACCGGCUAACUACGUGCCAGCAGCCGCGGUAAUACGUAGGGUGCAAGCGUUAUCCGGAAUUAUUGGGCGUAAAGGGCUCGUAGGCGGUUCGUCGCGUCCGGUGUGAAAGUCCAUCGCUUAACGGUGGAUCCGCGCCGGGUACGGGCGGGCUUGAGUGCGGUAGGGGAGACUGGAAUUCCCGGUGUAACGGUGGAAUGUGUAGAUAUCGGGAAGAACACC